rnacentral:rRNA from 1 species
UACGAAGGGGGCUAGCGUUGCUCGGAAUUACUGGGCGUAAAGCGCACGUAGGCGGCUUUCUAAGUCGGGGGUGAAAUCCUGGAGCUCAACUCCAGAACUGCCUUUGAUACUGGCGAUCUCGAGUCCGGGAGAGGUGAGUGGAACUGCGAGUGUAGAGGUGAAAUUCGUAGAUAUUCGCAAGAACACCAGUGGCGAAGGCGGCUCACUGGCCCGGUACUGACGCUGAGGUGCGAAAGCGUGGGGAGCAAACAGG